CUAUGUGUUCUAACCAUAGGGUUCUAUCCUAUCCUAUGGUUCUACCCUCCUCUCGUUCAGUUCGAGGUGUCAUCAAACUGUUACUCUUGACAACAUCUGAAUCAAACUGCAGUCUGACCUUUAACUGUCCGAAAACAUCAAAAUGUCGGCAAUGAAAUAACAAUCCGCAACUUGACAAGAGGGGUUCGACUGUCUGUAAAAGUGUCCUGACUUCAAAGAGACGAGCUGAAGGAUGGAUCCACUUUUCCAGGAUGCUAUUCAAAGGAGAAAUCAACAGAAUGGCAUUAUUAGCAGCAUGUACAAUGCUCCAGCUUCUAACCAUAACCAGAACUCUCACUGUGAGUACUCAAGAUACACUGAUGUUGGACCACAAAGCAGUGCUGGAGUGAAUGUGGAAUGGGAGGAACCCAGCUCUGCAUCCUCUGACUUUUACAACCAGGAGUCCGAAGCUGAUGACCCAGAUGGAGAGCCCCUUCUCAUGGAAGAUGAGGACCCAGAGCUGGCAAGAAAACGUCAAGAACUCAGAGAGAUUGAAGAGCAGAUAAAACAAAAGAGAGUUUCCAUUGCUCUGAAAAAAGGUGAACAUAUUGUGAAUAAGGCAACACUAGACUUUUCCACCAAUAGAGAAUCAGCUGAAUGUGAGGGUCCAACUCUUAGAGAGAGGGUGAAUGCAGUUUUGCAGAAACGACAUCCUGACAGCUUACUGUCAAAGGGCCACUCACCUAAAGAGAGACUGAAGUCAUCAAGCCGGAGCAAGCUGCAGGACCAUCCCUUGAAGCUGAGAGUGAAGGCACUAAUGGAGCGGAGACUCAAUGAUCCCUUUGUAUUUUCAACAUACAGACAGGUCCCUGAUAUCACACCACCUCCUCCAGCUCAAAUGGAAACUUCAGCAGAGAAGAAAGCAAACAGCUUUGACCUGGGUUUCCAGCGCUUUCUCAGCGUGCUCAACAAAGGAGUGGACAUAGACAUGCUCAGUAAGAUUGUCAACGCUGAUGGUGAGGAUCUUCCUGUAGGUGUGGAGGUCCUUGACUUUCAGCCCACUGCUUUAAAGGACAAGUUAGAUAUGCCUCUCAGAGGCGCGAGCCAGGGAGAAGGUCCACCUUCCAGGAGUGAGAGCCAAGGAUCAAAUAGUGGAGUCUCUCUGCUGUGCCACAGCCAGACAAGCAUCAAAGAGAGAAAGACCAACCCACACAGCCAAGAGAGAUCCCUCAGUGAGAGAUUCUCCCUACCAAAUGGUGAGGAGAAGAGGAACGACAGAGGAGAUCACUGCUUGCUUUCUAGUGGAGCCUUGCUGCCAGGCCACAGUCUCACCAGCAGUGCAGAGAGAAAGAUCAACCCACACAGUCAAGAGAGGUCCCUCAGUCAGAAACUCCCCUUACCUGAUGAUGAGGAGAAAGAAAAAAAAGAAGGCCGCUGCUUUGCCUCGAGUAGUCAAUCAAAGUCUCCCCCUGCAGUGAAGAAGAAGAAGAAGAAGAAGAAGAAAGAGGAAGAACCACCAAAGGUGGAUGAUCACCGUGAACAACUCCAGAACAUCCUCAAAACUCUGGGGUUAAGCCUGGAAGUGGAGGAGAUGAGUAAACUAGAAGACAGAACUCAGGAAAGGUUGUAUGGGAAGAAGAGGGCUGAGAGCAGAGAACAGCAGGAGAGCCAGCAGAGGGGCUCUCACAAACAUUUCAGAAACUCUUUUACUUCCUCUUCUUCCUCCUCCAACUCAAGGUCAACAUCUCAAAACUCUAGUCCCAGUUCCUCUCACUGUCGGUUGUCUCACAGCAGAGACUCUAAUCAAAGGCGAUCAUCUCACUCGAGAGACAGAUGCAGAGAUAAGCUGACAAACCAUGACAGCAAACAGGACAGUACAAGAGCACAGACUCACUGUGACAGAGACAGAGAUGGGGAGCACUCCAAAGAAACCUUUACCCAUGAAAACCCACAUUCACUUCAUCCUAUUCCAACAUAUCCACCCGAACACCCUGAUACUUUUCCUGCAUAUACAGAAUAUGGUUUUCCCCAGUAUUCUGAGUAUGAUGAGUACCACAGCAACUCUUUCGAUGCUACUACAAACUCUUUUUGGAUGUAUCCCCAGGAUGCUGAGCCUGUACCAUUUUAUCACAGUGAGUAUUCUAAUUCCCAGGACCCUUUCCAUCACUUUGCUGAGCCUGCAGCAGCACCUAAAAGAGUCCGCCAACUACACAAACUUUCAGCACAAGACACUCACUUACUUGUGAAUCCAGAUUUGUCGAGAAGUGAGGGGCAAGUCGGGCCGGCCUCUGGCACUCGCUGCCUGCGUGUCGUUACCACCCUGCAGACAACCUCCCAAAGCUGUUUAAAGACACUCACAGGAGGCAAGAGGAGAAGAACAGGGGAUCCUAACAAAAGAAUAUGGAAACAACGUUUAUUUAUACAGCGAUGUAGGAUGGGAAAAAAGCUGGCAAAAUCUGCCAAGGAGGCGAAGAGGAUGAAGACAGUGAUGGAGGAGAAGGAGGUAAAGAGGGUUAUGGAGGAGAAGGUAGAGAAGAGGGUGAUGGAGGAGAAGGUAGAGAAGAAGGAAGCUUCACAUGGAGUUGAACAUGACUCUGAAACAGUGGUAGUAAAAGAGGCACCAACAGAAGAGGAAAUAAAGAAGAAUCUGAGGAAAAUGGUUAGUAGAGGAUCGUUUUUUACGACUUCUCAAUCUGUCUUAUCUGAGAAAAUUAGAGAAGUUAUUUAGUACCAUUCAUCUAGAUUUUUGUUCCCUGGAUAGAGAAAACAAUUCUAUAUAUCGAUGUGCUAUUUUUGUAAAUUUAAGAUAUAAGCCUGACAACAAGUAAUAAGACAAAUUUUGACAAACAAACAACAAAAGAAACCUUCUAAGGGUGUUAUGAUAGGUCCCACAGAGAAUGCAUGAUUAAGGGCACAAGAAAAUGACGUUAGAUUUAAAGUAAUAUAGUUUCAGUUGCUCUGCAUUUCUUUUUCAUUUUUUUUACCUCAUGAAAACUGAACCUCAAAAAUUAGUGUAAGGAUGUUCAGGACAAAUAAUCUCAGUUUUAAUCUGUGACUAAAACUUCAUAACCCUUGUUUCUGUAUCAUUUCUUAUAUAUAAAAAAAAUGUCCUCUAAAGCUGAUACCUGACUACCCUCCAGUUUUCAUUGAGAAGAAGAAAGUCUCACUGUCCCAUGCAGAGGACACAGGUUUAAAUUGUAUUUCUAAAGGAUUCAAAUCAAUAAUACAAAUUAGAAUUUACAGCUGAUUUCUAACUGUUUCUACUUCAGGAUAUUUUUUGCUGACAUAAACGUGAAACACUUUUUCUCUGUCCUGUUUAAAAACUUUUUUUUUUUCUAGCUGGCUGCGUUUAACCAGAAGCAGAAGCCAAAUGUCAUACAACCACACAACUCUAUACCCUGAGAGACUGAAUAAAAUCUGUGAAGUGUUCUCAGUGUUAUUUCAUUCAUCGUUCUGUGAGCCCUGACAGACCACAUGGACCUCAUGUAUAACACUUAUCGUUUACAAUAGUGUUAAAUAGUGUAACAUGACCAUUUAAUAUUUAAGUCAUACUACUGUUUUUGUACUGACCUCUCUGAAGACACUGUAAAAAAAAAAAGAAAAUUAUUUUAUUUUGGGACUGUUGCCCUUUUUUAAAAAAAAAAUUAGAUAGGAAAGCUGGAGAGACAGGAAACAUGUGGAGUAGAGAGUGUAGUAAGACAUGCAUGGGAUGGUCGUGGCCGGGAGUCGAGUCGAAUGAAUGGAUGAACUCUUCUUCAAGAAAGUAUUUUUGGGCAGAUAAAUGCCAGUUUUGGUCUGGACAGUUUCACUCAAUACAUCAUUGUGUUUCAGUGAGCAUCACUGCUUUGUGACUGUUUCUAUUCUGCCUUUUUUACGUCUACAAAUUUGAAUAAGGACAAUAUGUAUGUAGGAUCUGUUGGCUGAAAUAUAUAUUUUCUAUCAUAAAGUGUUGAUCCUGUAAAGUGUUCAGGUCCUGUCAUUUUGGGCUUCACCACCAACAAUUGUGUCUGUGCUGAGUGAAGUCAUCUUUGACCAGAUUGAAAUAAUAAUAAUAAUACAUUUUAUUGUAUUGAAAUGGAACAGAAAAGCGACUUUGAGUUGUCCUUUUUCUAUGAUGUGUUUUAGAAACAUCUCGGGACAGUUCUCUUGACUCUUUCCUCCUCUGACUUUAGUGCCACCAACAGGUCCAAAACUUCAUGUUUUACCCAGUAAUACACAACAAAUACCUCCUAAA